AGCGAACGCUGGCGGCGUGCUUAACACAUGCAAGUCGAGCGACUGCAUUCUUUUCGGAGGGUGUAUGGAGCGGCGAACGGGUGAGUAACACGUGAGUAAUCUGCCUUUGGCUUGGGAAUAACUUCGGGAAAUCGGGGCUAAUGCCUGAUGUUUACUGUCUGCUGCAUGGUGGGUGGUGGAAAGAUUUUUUGGCCAGGGAUGAGCUCGCGGUCUAUCAGCNGUUGGUGGGGUAAUGGCUUACCAAGGCUUUGACGGGUAGCCGGCCUGAGAGGGUGUUCGGCCACACUGGGACUGAGACACGGCCCAGACUCCUACGGGAGGCAGCAGUGGGGAAUAUUGCGCAAAUGGGCGUAAGCCUGACGCAGCGACGCCGCGUGGGGGA
rnacentral:rRNA from 1 species